GAGAGGAGCCCAUGUAGGGAACGGGGCUGUCACUCCUGGGCUGUGGGGGGUUUGGGUGCCGUCGGGAAGGAGUUUGGUCCCGGCUGGUGUAGGGGGUGCCCCUGGGGAGCAGAGAUGGGGGAACCAUCCAGCAUUCCUCUGUGCCCCCCAACAUCUCCCCCAGACCAGCAGCUGCUGGGGCAGCCCAGCUCUGAGCAGGAGUGGAGGAGCUCAGGUUGAUGCUUCCCGGCUGCUGAGACGCCAGAGCGCAGACACACAUCCCGCUGGGGACACCUCUCCUGGUGGGAACACCGCCCCAGACACCCCCACACUGCGGAGCCCACCGAGGCAGCAGCUCAGGGCAUCUCAGGGAUGGAUCUUUCUGCUUCUGCUGCUUUGCUGCGAAAAAUCCCCCCAAGGAAGCUGUUUCUGAUGCCCAGACCUCCUGCAUUCGCAGGACGAGGUGCUCUGGUCCUGCUGGGAGCACAGUUUGGUGCAGCGUGGCCCCCCCAGCACCCCUGCACAGCACAGGGACGUGGGUGGGGAGAUCUCGCAGAUGCAGUUGCCAUGGAAAAAUAAAGCCCCUCAUCAAGAUUCAGAGGAAGCUAAUGAAAUAAUUAGCAAGUAACAAAAAUGAAAGAGAAGGAUCGUUGUGGUGCUUCUGCCCAAGGUGGGCAAUGGUGGAGGGGAAUUGACCCUGAAAGUGAAGCAAUGGAAAAAGCGGGGAAAUAAAUCCCACCAAAAUCUGCCCUGGACCACAUUCCUCCUGGGACUGGGAUUUUCUGAAUCUUCUUUUGUUUUCUGCCUGGGAGGGUCUGUGCAGCUGAAAGCUGGGGGGACGCUGGGAGAAACCCCCAGUUGCAUUCAUCUAAGAUGUCUGGACACUGUCACAGAAGGACCAGUUUUUAAGAAUCAUGAACAUCCUGAUGGCAAAAGGCACCAACGGGAACCCUUGCUCAACUGCUCUGAGGGCUCAGUACUGGCCUCGAACUGGAUGGACCAGCUCCUCCGUUAGCUGAAGGCUAUGAAAUGAAAUACAGCAUCAGACACAUCCCUGCACCAAUUUGUGCAGGCUUGCAAUGUGUGCCUUCCAUCUCCUCCAGACACCAUUUGGCAGAUCUGUGCUGUGAAUGUCACAGCAGUCUUGCAUAAGAACUUCUCCCACCAUCCCGACGAGCGCGAUGAGACGGGUGUACCAUCUGCUGGGAGCUGCCAUGUGCCGAGCCGCGUCCCUCCCUCGCUGGAGGAACCCCCAAACCCUUCCCUGGGCUCCCUCAGCCUGUCUCGGGGUGUAACACUUCUGCCCCUGAGCAGUCUUUGCUCAGAGGGGGACAAGCAGCUCCUUUUUAUUUCCCCCCUGCAGAUGCCCCUCAUGUCUGCAGUGAUGGCUCCGUGGGUGACAAGGUGAUCAGGUCCAUGGCUUAAAGCACCUUCUUGCGUGUGCCUUUAGCAUUCAGCCCUAACAUCACCUUCCAGGGUAAAACAUCAAUAGGAUCAUCUCCGUCUACAAGGCUCCUUCCCUGAAACAAGUAAGCAGCAGCACUCCAAGCCAUCAUGGAUAAGAGAUGCUGUAAUCUGGUUUUCUCAGGCAAGAGCAUGUCAUUCACUAGGGGAAAAAGAUUUGAUCAACUUUGCUGAGACGGGCACAGAGCAAGAAGCAUCCGCAAAAGGGGAGUUGCAAACCUGGCAGCACCAGGGAGAAGGUGGCUGGGUUGGACAAGGCAGCCAGGUUUCCAAAUUUCCAGCUGAUUAAAUAAGUGUUCCUCAAAGAAAGCACUGAAACAAGAGAGCGGCUCCUUGCAGGAGCAUCACUUAGCAUCACUGCUCCUUGCAGGAGCAUCACUGGGUGUCACCGGGCAUCACCGGGGCAGCAUCCUUUCGCUCGGGCUGUACAAAGCAACAGCAGCAAGGUGAUUUAUACCUGUGUUUGCACUGGGGGUGGGAGGAAUCCAAGCCAGAAAGGCAAUUAGCGCAAGAGAGAAAAAUCUCAGGGCAGUUUAAUACAAUUUGGUUGAUGAUGUUGCGCUCAGCACGAGCUGGGAAAGGCCAGCGCAGCCUUGCCCUUGAGGAGCACACACUUUCAGCAGCUUGGAUAAUAAGAACAAGUGUUUUCUGAGGGAAAAGUGAAAUGCUUUUUUUUCUUGUGAAGCACUCACUUUCUCUAAGCUGCCUGCAACAUUUUUCCUAAUUAAAAUAGAUCUAUAAUAUCA